rnacentral:rRNA from 1 species
UACGUAGGGGGCAAGCGUUGUCCGGAUUUAUUGGGCGUAAAGAGCGUGUAGGCGGCUAGAUAGGUCCGUUGUGAAAACUCGAGGCUCAACCUCGAAACGUCGAUGGAAACCAUCUGGCUAGAGUCCGGAAGAGGAGAGUGGAAUUCCUGGUGUAGCGGUGAAAUGCGCAGAUAUCGGGAAGAACACCCGUGGCGAAGGCGGUUCUCUGGGACGGUACUGACGCUGAGACGCGAAAGCGUGGGGAGCGAACAGG